CUAUCAAUGAUGGGUGGAAACACGCUAUGGACGAAGAGAUGACUGCAUUAUAUCAAUACCAAACUUGGACAUUAGUUGAGCUACCAGCGGGAAAGCAUCUAGUUGGGUGUAUAUGGUGAAGUGUAACCUCGAUGGCUCAAUGGAUCGGUUAAAUACUCAAUUAGUUGCAAAAGGAUCGAGUUUGUUGCUUAUGGGGAGUCCGACAAAGUAUUCCUCCUUAAGAAGUCAAUCUUAUAGCUUAAAACAAUGCCCGCGAGCUUCGUUUGACAAGUAAGGUGGAGUUUAGGAUGAAGAGUAACUAGGUUGACCACUCUAUCUUUGUAAGAUGAAAUGAGGUGUAUGUGGACGAUAUCAUUGUCAUUGAUAGUGACGGUAUAUGUAUUGACAAGUUGAAGAAGUUUUUACA